UUUCAAGUCCGAUGCUAAAGACUGGGGCUCAACCCCAGGGGUGCGUUGGAUACUGUGAGGCUAGACGGUCGGAGGGGGUAGCGGAAUUUCCGGAGUAGCGGUGAAAUGCGCAGAUACCGGAAGGAACGCCAAUAGCGAAGGCAGCUACCUGGACGACUUGUGACGCUGAGGCGCGAAAGCGUGGGGAGCAAACCGGAUUAGAUACCCGGGUAGUCCACGCCCUAAACCAUGAGUGCUGGGUGUCCGGCUUCUGCUGGGUGCCGUAGCUAACGCGCUAAGCACUCCGCCUGGGAAGUACGCACGCAAGUGUGAAACUCAAAGGAAUUGACGGGGGCCCGCACAAGCGGUGGAGCAUGUGGUUUAAUUCGAAGCGACGCGAAGAACCUUACCAGGCCUUGACAUGCCCGGAACCCCUCUGAAAGGAGGGGGUGCCCGCAAGGGAGCCGGGACACAGGUGCUGCAUGGCCGUCGUCAGCUCGUGUCGUGAGAUGUUGGGUUAAGUCCCGCAACGAGCGCAACCCCUAUCCCUAGUUGCCAGCAGUUCGGCUGGGCACUCUAUGGAGACUGCCUGCGAAAGCAGGAGGAAGGCGGGGAUGACGUCUGGUCCGCAUGGCCCUUACGGCCUGGGCGACACACGUGCUACAAUGCCAAGGACAGAGCGCUGCUACCUCGCGAGAGGACGCCAAUCGCAAAAACCUUGGCUCAGUUCGGAUUGGAGUCUGC
rnacentral:rRNA from 1 species